CGGCCCAAGUCCCAGUGUGAAGCCCAAAUAGAGCCUUAAUGGGCCGACCCAAUUGAGAAGAGAACCACACGGAUCGAUUAUAAAUAGUGAUCCUAACACGGCCGGUUCCACAUGGUCUGUUGCUGCCUCCCCGGUCUCAUCUCCAUCUCAACCUCGAACACGUCGAGUUUUCCGGCCUCCUUGCUUCCGAUCUCGCUUCAGAGAGGAGUUGGAGGAGGAGGAAUGGCUCACCGGGUGGAUCACGAAUGUGACUACCUAUUCAAGAUCGUGCUGAUCGGCGAUUCGGGGAAAGGGGAAAUCGAACAUCCUCGACAGUUCACGCGGAAUGAGUUCUGCUUGGAUGGAAUCCAAGUCCACCAUCGGCGCCGAAUUCGCCACUAGGACCCUCCAGGUGAUCAAUCGAUUGUCUCCCGUCCACUGCUUCUGUUCCUUGCUUUGAUCAACAUGACCUGACAUCCCCUUCAAACUCGAUUUUCACGCUCAAUUCAUGAUAUGUUUAUGGACUUGCAGUAAGCAACCAUGUAUUUUAUGAUUGCAAUUAUGGGACAGACAGAACUGCAUGCAUCAUUGCUUGCUGAUCUUUUGAUUGACUUCGAAUUUGAGACCA